rnacentral:rRNA from 1 species
GACGAACCGUGCGAACGUUGUUCGGAAUCACUGGGCUUAAAGGGCGCGUAGGCGGACACUCAAGUCGAUGGUGAAAUCCUCCGGCCUAACCGGAGAAGAGCUGUCGAUACUGGAUGUCUCGAGGGGUGUAGGGGCCUGUGGAACUUUGGGUGGAGCGGUGAAAUGCGUAGAGAUCCAAAGGAACGCCGGUGGCGAAAGCGACGGGCUGGACACCUUCUGACGCUGAGGCGCGAAAGCCAGGGGAGCAAACGGG